GUGCCAGCAGCCGCGGUAAUACGAGAGGCCCAAACGUUAUUCGGAAUUACUGGGCUUAAAGAGUCCGUAGGCGGCGCGGAAAGUGGGGUGUGAAAGCCCUCGGCUCAACCGAGGAAUUGCGCUCCAAACUACCGUGCUUGAGGAACCUAGAGGUGAGCAGAACUGAUGGUGGAGCGGUGAAAUGCGUUGAUAUCAUCAGGAAUACCGGAGGCGAAGGCGGCUCACUGGGGGUUUUCUGACGCUGAGGGACGAAAGCCAGGGUAGCGAACGGGAUUAGAAACCCCCGUAGUCC
rnacentral:rRNA from 1 species